UGGGGAAUCUUGCGCAAUGGGCGAAAGCCUGACGCAGCCAUGCCGCGUGAAUGAUGAAGGUCUUAGGAUUGUAAAAUUCUUUCACCGGGGACGAUAAUGACGGUACCCGGAGAAGAAGCCCCGGCUAACUUCGUGCCAGCAGCCGCGGUAAUACGAAGGGGGCUAGCGUUGCUCGGAAUUACUGGGCGUAAAGGGCGCGUAGGCGGACAUUUAAGUCAGGGGUGAAAUCCCAGAGCUCAACUCUGGAACUGCCUUUGAUACUGGGUGUCUUGAGUGUGAGAGAGGUAUGUGGAACUCCGAGUGUAGAGGUGAAAUUCGUAGAUAUUCGGAAGAACACCAGUGGCGAAGGCGACAUACUGGCUCAUUACUGACGCUGAGGCGCGAAAGCGUGGGGAGCAAACAGGAUUAGAUACCCUGGUAGUCCACGCCGUAAACGAUGAUUGCUAGUUGUCGGGCUGCAUGCAGUUCGGUGACGCAGCUAACGCAUUAAGCAAUCCGCCUGGGGAGUACGGUCGCAAGAUUA
rnacentral:rRNA from 1 species